UACGGAGGGUGCAAGCGUUAUCCGGAUUCACUGGGUUUAAAGGGUGCGUGGGAGGGCAGGGAAGUCCGUGGUGAAAUCCUAGAGCUUAACUCUAGAACUGCCGUGGAUACUCUCUGUCUUGAAUCCCGUGGAGAUGAGCGGAAUAUGUCAUGUAGCGGUGAAAUGCUUAGAUAUGACAUAGAACACCAAUUGCGAAGGCAGCUCGUUACACGAAGAUUGACUCUGAGGCACGAAAGCGUGGGGAUCAAACAGG
rnacentral:rRNA from 1 species